UCUUCGGCACAUCACAAAGGACAAGAAGAGCCUUCCCCCUUUUCCCUUUCGCCCUUUCCGCGCUGCAACCGCCAAAUUCUUCUUCCGAGCCCAGCUCUCUCUAACUUCUCUUCCUCCAGCCGCCAGAAAGCUGGAUUCUUUGUGAGCUCGUGCUACUGAUUGGGCGGGUGACGGCGGCCUAAUCGGUUUCUUGAUUCUCAGGCCGGCUGGCUGUCGUUUGACUCCUGCGAUUGCAGGAGCGCCCGGCUUUUCUUCUUCCUUCCUACUCGGGCUAUCCGUUCCUGGGCUGGUUCGGAUUGGGAGGAGGAGAGGAGAUGAUGCGGCGCUGCUUCUCGGAGCUGGCCGGCCGGCGGCGGUCGGAUCGCGUGGUUGAUACUAUGAAGGUAGGACUCCAAUAUCUGGCCGACGCUUCCUCUUCAACAAGAGUUAUUGACAGACAGAGGUGCUCAGUUACGUAUGCAACGUCCUGUGCUACGGAUCCAGAUAUUCUAUCAAGAGAAACAUCAUCAUCAGAAAUGCUUGUUGAUUCAUUUGGGAGGUUCCACAAUUACUUGAGGAUCUCCUUGACUGAGCGCUGUAAUCUGAGGUGCCAAUACUGUAUGCCUGCUGAAGGAGUCGAACUAACACCAAAGUCGGAGCUUCUAUCACAUGAUGAGAUAAUUCGAAUUGCUGACCUCUUUGUUACCUCUGGUGUGGAUAAGAUUCGAUUAACUGGUGGAGAGCCUACCAUAAGAAAAGAUAUCGAAGACAUUUGCUUACAUCUCUCUGGUUUGAAGGGGCUAAAAACACUAGCAAUGACCACAAAUGGAAUUGUCCUUUCUAAGAAACUCCCCAAAUUGAAAGAAUGUGGCCUCAAUGCCUUAAAUAUAAGUUUAGAUACACUAGUACCUGCAAAGUUUGAGUUCAUGACAAGGCGUAAAGGGCACUCAAAGGUCAUGGAAUCAAUAGAUGCUGCUGUAGAACUUGGAUAUAACCCUGUGAAGGUCAAUUGUGUUAUCAUGCGUGGCAUGAAUGAUGAUGAGAUCUGUAAUUUUGUUGAACUGACGAGACACAAGCCCAUCAAUGUGAGAUUUAUUGAGUUUAUGCCAUUCGAUGGUAAUGUUUGGAAUGUGAAGAAACUAGUUCCUUAUGCAGAGAUGUUGGACAAAGUGGUAAGCGGCAAAGUUAUAAAGGUGUGGAGAGACUUCAAGAUCACCCUACAGACACUGCAAAGAAUUUCAGGAUUGAUGGACAUGUUGGGACAAUUUCAUUUAUUACAUCAAUGACAGAGCAUUUUUGUGCUGGAUGCAAUAGAUUACGGCUAUUGGCUGAUGGAAACUUCAAGGUGUGCUUGUUUGGCCCCUCAGAGGUGAGUUUGAGAGAGCCCAUCCGUGCUGGUGUAGAUGACGCUGGACUAAAGGAGAUAGUUGGUGCUGCGGUCAAAAGGAAGAAAGCUAAACAUGCUGGGAUGUUUGAUAUUGCCAAGACAGCGAAUAGACCAAUGAUACAUAUAGGUGGCUGAGAACUAUCUCCUGAAAUGAGACUCAAAAUGAAUUAUCAACUCAACUGCUGGUCGCCAGACUACACGAAUAAGUUCUGUGAUGGAAUGGAGCCACUGAAAAAGCAAGCCAGCUGUGAAAAUAUAGAUACCUAUACUUGAACAGCAUUUCAGGACCUCACUCUUUCAGUCUUCACGUCAUCACGUGCCAAAGUUCUUUGGUUGUGUGUUUUAUGCUCAAAAUAUCAAGUUGUGUUACUAUUAUGUUGUAACCUCUUACUACUGAGUUACCUACGCUGUCUUACUGCUGGCUCAAUAUUAUUACAACUGAAAUCACGAGUUCAAUCACACAGAA